UCUGAAUUGUAAGAGUUGUUA
rnacentral:miRNA from 1 species